ensembl:lncRNA
GUCCUAAUACAUUUUUGUCUAAUUAUGUCAUUAGUAUAUCCAUUUGUUUGUGUGGCUUUAUUUUACAAAUACUGAUUAGUGUUCAUGUAGAAUUGAGGAAAACAGCCCUAUACAAGCACUUCUAGCAAUUCUUCUCUUUACAGGUAAUAGAUACAGAGACAGUGUAACAGCAUGGCCACUGCAGCUGAAAAAGACACAGUAUGGAUCGGGUUCAUGGACAUCGUUCCGGUCAUCGGGACGGUAAAAGAGGCAGUGGAGCUGGUGUUGGCUCUGUAUGAAGGGAAUAAAGCUGUGAUAAAGGAGAAAGAGAAGGCCGUUGAAAACAUUGUGAAAGAGUCAUUAAAAAAACAUGUGAAGGAAAAACAUGUGAAAAAGUUGACUAAAUCAGGAGCUUUUCUAGUUGAUAAACCAGCAGCAGCUGCAGAUGAAUUUUCUGGACUCAGAAAUGUGAGAGAGGUCAGAAAGGAAAUGAUUAUUGAACAUAUGGUCAGAGGUUCCAAAAGGGGAACAAAACCUCCAACUUCAGCUCAACAGCAAGAAAGACAGAAAAGAGUGGAGGCUAUUAAUAAAGACAUGUUAGAAAAGAUCCAUAUCCUCAAUCAAAACUUCGCUAAGGAGCUGAAGGAAGAACUGGGAAGGUCACAAAGAGGCGAACAUGUCUUCAACAAUGACAUUCUUAGAUUUCAUUUCAAAGUGCUGACUGAGUUUAUACAAAGCCAUCAUAUUGAUAAUCUACGAGGAUAUAAUCGGCAGGCGAUGGAUACAUUAGGCAGACACACACUUCCCCAAAACACAGAAACAGAUAUUCAGACAAACAUGGUGGUUCACUUUGGUCAGGAUGAAUUCUACAUGAAUGCAAAUGCAGUGAUGUAUGGUGAAUAUUGCAGAGCACUGCGUGGUGCUUUGUUAGAUGUGCUGCGCCACAUAAACCCAGGUGACGUGGAAGAUGAGGAGAGACAAAGGGUGAAUUUUGUCAUAGAAAAUAUGAAUAACCUUGAAAUCUAUGUGGACCAACUGGCAAAGGUCAGGUGGAUUGGCAAUAAUGCGACUAGACAGGCCCGGUUUGAACAGGUAAGACAGGAAGUUGCGACCAUGUAUAACACAGAUCGUGGGUUAAACUGGUGCAUUCACAUUCUGGAUGUAGUUGCACCUUUGUAUGGACAGUGAGUUAAUUUCUCCUGUUCGGGGUGGCCAGGUUUCCUUUCAAAAUUUCCAUCUCAGCUACAUCCUAAAUCCCACAGACCUGAAACUGGCUCAAAGUUUGGACACUGGAAGAAACAAAAGGUUCACUGUGGUGCACAAACAUUUGUAUAUUUGCAAUGUUUCCAACACACUUAGGGUCAGAGUUUUGUCAUCCAUUGCCUGUUACACCUGUUAUCCUCUCCGUAAUCAUGUUUUUCUCUCCCAACCUGUUCAGAAAUGGCUUCAUACAUUUUCCAUACAUUACACUUUCCCUUUGUUUGCCAUAGCCCAGUGGGUUUUUGGGAAAUGUAUUAGCUUUAAUUCUGAUUAUUUACUUGGCCUUUGGUUUUUUUUUUUUUUUUUUUUUUUUUUUUUUUUUUUUUUUACUUUCCCACACCCCCAAAAAACCCCACCCAUGGGCUUGCUUUUUCUACCAUAACAACGUUCCAAAACUGAAAACUCUGACUUUGGCAACCUUCCUCAAAAUGAUCCAUUUUACUCAAAAAGAAAAUGCUAAUUUCCAACAUAAAGAUUCAUGCACUCAGCUACAUGUCUGUAACUAAAAUUUAAAGCUGAGCCUAAUAACAAGUGGAAGUUUAGUUGUUAUUAAAAUGACUGUGUGUGUACAUGUGAAGCAGAACAGGGAUGUUGGAGGCAUCUCAAAUCCUCCAUCUCCUUUUAUUCCCUCCAUCGUCGUUGUUAUAACCACCAGAUGGAGGAUUCAUGAUCAUGUGUAGAGACUUUAGAUGACUUUAAUGAUUACCAUCCAGCCAUCAGGGCUUUUAAUGCAGCACUUAUUCUCUAAAGACUCUAAAUAUGAUUGAGCUUUGAGAAAAACAUGUUUGGAUAUGUAGGUAUUAUACGAGUUUAUUUUACAGAUGUAUACAUUAUUAUUCGACUUUAUAGCACAGUUUGUAGCUUUUUACACAUACAUUCUUGCUGUUAUUGUAAACUUUCUUCAGUUUUCAGAUGAUUCGUGCUGAUGAUUGAAUUAUGAUAUUUUACCAUUUACUGUAAUUAUCUGAUUACGGUUACCAACAAAUUUUGUUUAGCUAAUCUCAUUGAGAUCUGUUGCAUUAAAUGGUUUCUAAUGCAAAAUUCCUGGAAAGCAUGCUGAGCUGCAUUUACAUUUAUGGGACAAGUUCCAUGGAAAUAUGUUUAAAAUAAAAUAAAGUGAUUACUAACA